rnacentral:lncRNA from 1 species
UUUUUUUUUUUUUUUGCCUUUUUGUUUUUAUGUUUUGUGUUUUUCUAUUUCUUUGACUGUCCAAUCCCCAUCGAUUUAUGCUUCCUGCCCAUCAGGUAUCUCUUUAUCGCAACCUGCUCUCGGUGAUUGUGUAAGGCGACACUUUACAUGUUGUCUCCCUGAAACCACCUCUUGACCCCACAAUUCUUUUAAAUUUGCAUAUAUUUUUUUUUUUUUGAGAAGGGUCUUGCUCUGUUGCCCAGGCUGAAGCGCAGUGGUGCAAUUGUGGCUCACUGUAGCCAUGAUUACCCUAAAUCCAUGCCCUCACUCUUCCUUGCUAGACUGCCACUGAGGUCCCCACUUCAGGUGUUCACUAAUCAGAAACAGGCACCUCAGUGGCAGUUUAGUGGAAACCCUGAUUGGGAAUAAAUUCAGUGAAUGAUGUGCAACUUUCUACACUGAAAACUAGAGAGCAUUGCUAAGGGACAAAGCAGUAAAUAAAUGGAGUAAUACACCACGCUCAUAGACUGGAAGACUCAAUAUCACAAAGAGUCAAUUCUUCCCGAAUUGAGAUUUAAAUUCAAUGAAAUCCUAAUUAGAAUCUCAUUAGAGUUUUUUUGUUUUGUUUUGUUUUGGUGGAUUUGAUUAUCUGAUUCUUCAAUUUAUAUAGACAGUGAAAGGGACUGAAAGUAGCCAAGAUAAUCUUGAAGUAGAAAAACAAAGUUGGAGAAAUUAAUUUGUCAGAUUUCAAGAUUUUGUAUAGUUGCAGUAAUUAUAUGUGGUGUGUGUACAAGGAGAGAUGAACCAGUGGAACAAAAUGGUUCAGGAACAGACUCGCAAACACACCUGAUUUUUAACAAAGGCUCCACUACAAUGAAAUAGAAGGUGAGUCUUGUUGAUAAAUAUUGUUGAUCGGUGUUUAUUUGAAAAUAAUGAGCCUUAGACUUGUCUUAUUUCAUAUACAGAAAUUUAAUUUAAAAUGGAUCAUAGAGCUAAUGUGAAAAUAAAACCAUAAGCUUCUAAAAAUUAGGAUAAUUUGUGACUUUGCAGUAGUCAGAUUUCUUUAAAAAGAUAUACAAAAAUACUAUUCAUAAAAGGAUGAUAAAUAGGACCUUAUUGAGAAUUUGUUCAUUAAAAUACAACAUUAAGAGAGUAAAAAGGCAAUACAGAGACCAGAAAAAGAUAUCUCCAUUUUAUGUAUAUGAAACAAAGGACUUAUAUUCAGAAUAUAUAAAGAACUCCUACCAAUCAAAAAGAAAAAGGCAACCAAAUGUAAAAAUGGGCAAGAGACUCGAAUUAUCCAGCAAGGAAAUGCAAAUUAAAACUACAAUGAGGUGUUACCACACCUUCAGCCAAAUCAGCUAAAAUUAAAAGGAGUAAUAAUACAAAGUGUUGCUGACAAUGUGGAAAAACAGGAACUCUUAUAUUGCUGAUGGGAGCAUAACUUGAUGCAAUAUUUUUGGCACAUUUAUUUAGGCAUAUCAGCUGAAGUUGAAUACAGCUAUACCUCCCUUAUGACUCAACAAUUUCACCCCUGAGUUUGUAAUCAACACAAACGAAUGCUACAUUCACCAAAAGUCAUAUAUUACAAAUGUUUGGGGCUAUUUUCUCCAUAAUAACCCCAAACUGGAAAUGAUAAAUAUCCAUCAACAUAUCCCAAAUAGUAUUAAGAAUUCAUACAAUGGAUAACUACAUAAUAAGAAAUAAUGAAUCUGAUGCAUGCAAAAGGUGGGAGAAUUUCAGAGAUACAAUUUUAAGCCACAAAAAAAAAAAAAAAAAAAAAAAAGCCUGAUACAAAAGAGUAUGUGUGUUACUCUAAUUAUAUGAAAGUCAAGAACCGGUGACAUUGACCUAUGACAAUGGCAGUCAGAAUAGUGUUACUUUUUCAGGUGAUAUUGACUAGGAGAGGGAAGGAAAUAUUCCCUAUCUAUCUUUAUCUUGGCAGUGGCUAUGUAAUAUGUAAUUGUCUAUUGUGUGAAUUCAUAUUCCUAGGUAUGUGGGGUUUUUUGAUGCUACAAAAAAGUUAAAAUUUUUUCUCAUUGCCUGUUUCAUGUCUAUAAAAAUAGUUUUUGUAUAUUGACCUUAUAUCC